CCAAAUCCCUUUGAAUCCAACAACGAUGCAAUGAUGACAUUAACCACUCUGCUACCUAUUGCUUCUAAGAAUUUCUUGUUUCCAGUUUGUGUAAAUUCUUGGAGAAAAUAUAAUUUUUGUCUGGGCUGCAAUCCAAAAUCUGCUACAAUACCUCAUACAAUACAAAAAAAAAUCACACAAUACUGUCAGUCUGGUAUACAUUACUGUUGAUUAUGGUAUACAUGAUUUUUCACAUUAAAUUUCUUACAGAGGAAAUCCCUCAGAAGAAACUGGAGAGUAAGAUACUUUCUUCCCCAGUGCAAGAAAGCGGAGCAUACCAAAGUAGUGCAAAAACCUGGAAAGCAUCUCAAUGCUCACCAUUUGGUUUGCCAAAUAAUCUGCAACAUCUUAAGUCUGAGAUGGAAGAGAUCCCAUGCCCUAAACAAGAACACUAUACACCAUACGCUACAACUGCCAAAGAGGGAGAUGACAGCGCCAGAGCUGGUCAGCAAAAUGAAGAUGGUGAAAACGCCAGUACAUCUGAAAAAGAAAGACCAUUGCCAACUCAAGCAAAGAAAGAAGAUGGAAGUGGUUUUAGCAGCAGUCCUAGGAGGAUCGGGGAACGAGUUAAAGGAAAACGGAAUGUCACGAUCACCCCUGUUAGACAUUCCAGGAGUUACAUAAAGAAAGCAGGUGAGAAAAGAGUGGUGGAGAGAAAUUAAACCUUAAUUUUUCUGCGUACAUGUGCAUGGUCAAAACACAGUACGGUGACUUUUUAAUGUAUACACAGUAUUAAUUUCUUGUAUCAUUAUACAUAUCUUUUCAGCGCUCUUUUUCAUGAUGUCAAGUAGUUUUCUCAUCUCUGGUAAGUACUUACAUGUUUAGCCAUUUAUACAAGAAAACCCAGGCAAGAAACAUGAACGUGAACCAACGCUAGACCAGGGUGUUGGUGCUCACCUGCAGCUCUGUGAUCCCUUCUUGUACCCCACAAAUCAUGUGAAAUUCACCAAUACCCUCAUAAGCUCAUAAUGAGAAAUAAAAGCAUAAUUUUAAGAAACUGAAAAAUGGAA
rnacentral:lncRNA from 1 species